GCAGGAUAUAAGAUUGGAUGUACUGUGAUUUUCUUUCUGUAGGUCUUGCAGGAAGCAGGAGUCACACUUGAGCUGGAGGGCCAUCUCUCUCAAGAUAGAACUACAGUGUGUCUCUUCAUUCUCAGGAACAGGAUCAACAGCUUCCAACUGUAAGUGAUGUUAGGCCUGGUGCAAGAGAAAUCCAGUGGAUUCUUGAGUUUUGGAGAUAUGUAUAGACAUGCCUGGCCAGGGUAGGAAGAAGGGACAAGCAGGGAUGUGGAAGUGAGAACAGCUUAGCUUGGGUAGGGAGCCCCAUCAAUCAUCUCCUUUGUCUUGUACCCCUUUCUCUUCCCUGGAGGUGAGGAUAGGGGUGAUUUGGGAUGAAGCAGGGCCUGCCGCCUUUCCCAUUUCCUCUCUCCUUGUGUUGUUUCUUCUGUCACCUAUUG
rnacentral:lncRNA from 1 species